AUGAAAGCUAGGGUUUGCAUACGGAGGAACUCGUCCUCUAGAAUUCCAACUAUGAAUGGGCGAAGGAAGAUCCACGAGUUUCUGAUCCUACAAUUUAUUCAGCUUUUUAUGUUGAUCUCCUCUUAGUAUCUCAGAAGACAUGUUUUAUUACAUUUUGAUCUUUUGACCGUUCCAAUUGAGUUAAGAAUUUCGAGUCAGGCUUUGCAAAUUCAAUCAAAGUCGGCGUAAUUUGUUUAACUUGAUACGAGACACAAUGAUGGAUUUUGGACGUGUAAGAGAGUGUGGUCAUCAGGCCUUGUUUGCAUUAUUCGUAAUGAUGACAAAUGUUGCAGAUGGCGUAUAGUAGUCACGGUCAAAAACAGUAAUAUCAUUAUAUGAAAUUUAUGGUAUGUGGUUUUAAAAGAAAAGGGAUGGAGUCCCUUGGGAUCCUUGUAAUCUGUGAUGACGGCAUCAUCCACUCCAUUUGUCAUUGUUACGACUAAGGGGUGGUUAAAGAU
rnacentral:lncRNA from 1 species